rnacentral:rRNA from 1 species
GUGAGGAAUUUUCCGCAAUGGGCGAAAGCCUGACGGAGCAAUGCCGCGUGAAGGAUGAAGGCCUAUGGGUUGUAAACUUCUUUUCUCAGAAAAGAAUUAUGACGGUAUCUGAGGAAUAAGCAUCGGCUAACUCUGUGCCAGCAGCCGCGGUAAGACAGAGGAUGCAAGCGUUAUCCGGAAUGAUUGGGCGUAAAGCGUCUGUAGGUUGUUUAAAAAGUAUUCUGUCAAAGAUUAGGGCUUAACCCUAGAUAGGCAGAAUAAACUUUUAAGCUAGAGUUUGGUAGAGGCAGAGGGAAUUCCCGGUGGAGCGGUGAAAUGCGUAGAUAGCGGGAGGAACACCAAAGGCGAAGGCACUCUGCUGGGCCAAUACUAACACUGAGAGACGAAAGCGAGGGGAGCAAAUGGGAUUAGAAACCCCUGUAGUCC